rnacentral:rRNA from 1 species
CCUUGUGGUUUUUGCGAAGCGCCCAAGACCCGAUCCCAUCCCGAACUCGACCGUUAAACGCUUCAGCGCCGAUGGUACUGUGUCUUAAGGCACGGGAGAGUAGGUCGCUGCCAGGU